GGUGGCGUAGCUCAGCGGUAGAGCAGAGGACUCAUAAGCCUUUGGUCACAGGUUCAAAUCCCGUCGCCACCA
rnacentral:tRNA from 1 species